UACAGAGGGUGCGAGCGUUGUUCGGAAUUACUGGGCGUAAAGCGCGCGUAGGUGGUGUGUUAAGUCUGCCGGUCAAAUGCCGAGGCUCAACCUCGUUGCACGCCGGGGAUACUGGCAGCGCUAGAGACAAGUAGAGGCAAGCGGAAUUCCGGGUGUAGCGGUGGAAUGCGUAGAGAUCCGGAAGAACACCAGAGGCGAAGGCGGCUUGCUGGGCUUGGUCUGACGCUGAGGCGCGAAAGCGUGGGGAGCGAACAGG
rnacentral:rRNA from 1 species